CAACAAAGAAAACUUGCAAAGUAAUCUGAGCAUUCGAUGUGAUUGGCCAGCGCUCGCGUUGUCCGCUGUUCUAUUACAUUGCUGGCUACUAAUAAAUUGUCCGCAAAGUAAACUUGUUGACACGUUCACACCAGUAAAAUAAAACUUGUCAUAGAAAACUUGCUCGUCUGUAACCAGCUUUACAACAAUUGUGAUAUUACUUUCUUAACUGUGUUUAUCCUAACC